AGAGUUUGAUCCUGGCUCAGGAUGAACGCUAGCGAUAGGCUUAACACAUGCAAGUCGAGGGGCAGCAUGGUCUUAGCUUGCUAAGGCUGAUGGCGACCGGCGCACGGGUGCGUAACGCGUAUGCAACUUGCCUCACAGAGGGGGAUAACCCGUCGAAAGACGGACUAAUACCGCGUACACUUAUUAGAGGGCAUCCUUUAGUAAGGAAAUGAAAUUCGCUGUGAGAUAGGCAUGCGUCCCAUUAGCUAGUUGGUGAGGUAACGGCUCACCAAGGCGACGAUGGGUAGGGGAACUGAGAGGUUGAACCCCCACACUGGUACUGAGACACGGACCAGACUCCUACGGGAGGCAGCAGUGAGGAAUAUUGGUCAAUGGGCGAGAGCCUGAACCAGCCAAGUCGCGUGAAGGAUGACUGUCUUAUGGAUUGUAAACUUCUUUUAUACGGGAAUAACAAGAGCCACGUGUGACUCCCUGCAUGUACCGUAUGAAUAAGCAUCGGCUAACUCCGUGCCAGCAGCCGCGGUAAUACGGAGGAUGCGAGCGUUAUCCGGAUUUAUUGGGUUUAAAGGGUGCGUAGGCGGCCUGUUAAGUCAGCGGUGAAAUCUAGGAGCUUAACUCCUAAAUUGCCAUUGAUACUGGCGGGCUUGAGUGUAGAUGAGGUAGGCGGAAUGCGUGGUGUAGCGGUGGAAUGCAUAGAUAUCACGCAGAACUCCGAUUGCGAAGGCAGCUUACUAAGGUACAACUGACGCUGAAGCACGAAAGCGUGGGUAUCAAACAGGAUUAGAUACCCUGGUAGUCCACGCAGUAAACGAUGAUAACUGGGCGUAUGCGAUAUACAGUAUGCUCCUAAGCGAAAGCGUUAAGUUAUCCACCUGGGGAGUACGCCGGCAACGGUGAAACUCAAAGGAAUUGACGGGGGCCCGCACAAGCGGAGGAACAUGUG
rnacentral:rRNA from 1 species